rnacentral:rRNA from 1 species
AUUGAACGCUGGCGGCAUGCCUAACACAUGCAAGUCGAACGGCAGCACGGGUGGUUGCACCUGGUGGCGAGUGGCGCACGCGGGAGUAAUACAUGUGCACAUGUCCCGUCGUUGGGGGUGGGCAGGAGAAAGCCGGAUUAAUACCGCAUACGAACUACGGAUGAGAGAGGGGGAGUUUCGGGACUCGCCCUCUGGGGUUGGACGAGGGCUGAUUAGCUAGUUGGAGGGGUAAAGGGAUACCAAGGCGACGAUCAGUAGCGGGUCUGAGAGGACGAGCAGCCACACUGGGACUGAGACACGGCCCAGACUCCUACGGGAGGCAGCAGUGGGGAAUUUUGGACAAUGGGCGAAAGCCUGAUCCAGCAAUGCCGCGUGUGUGAAGAAGGCCUUCGGGUUGUAAAGCACUUUUGUCCGGAAAGAAAUCCUUGGCCCUAAUACGGUCGGGGGAUGACGGUACCGGAAGAAUAAGCACCGGCUAACUACGUG